rnacentral:lncRNA from 1 species
AUGACCCUGCAAGAGCACAGCCAGGUGCCCAGAAGGCAACCUGGGGAGAGAAACACCUUCCAGACCGAGGUCUGCACAGAGCUGGGAUGGCAAACCUGCCAUGCUCCAGCCCCACACAACAGGCCCUGUUUGCUGCAACCCUGCCUCCUUCUCCCAGCAAAGGGAGGUCCCAGGGAAGGGGACGGCCCCUGGAAGGCCCCAAGCCCUCCUUCUCCCAGUUGGGAUGUCCUCUGGCCAAGGGACACCCAGAGCUCUCUCCUUGGCCCUUCCAGCAUGGGAGCAGCCACAGCACAGCCUGGCAAGGUGCCCUCCUUGCUGCAUGCAGUGACAUGCCACAAAGGCCCUGCUUCACCACAUUACUCCCAGUCCAUCCACGGCAGUGGGGUACAGACAGACUGGUGCAGCGUUGCUUGCAAUCACACCUGCACUGCAUGCAGCAUUGCCCACUCCCAGGGAUGGCCUAGGGGUGCAGGCGUUGUGUGCCAUCACACCACACAGCAUGACAUCGUACCGUGCUACGCUGUACCGCAUGCAACAUGCCCCCAGCCCAAGAAAACAGCCAGAGGCGCACAAUUUGUAUGCAAUCACACUGCCACUGCCUUACGCUGUAUUGCGCUGCAUGCAAGGACUCCUCCUUCUUGGAGGGGCGCAUGCUUCACGCAUGGCCACGAUUGCAUUGCGUUGCAUGCAGUGCAGUACAGUACGAUCAACACAAUACUCCCCCAGGAAUGGCCUGGGGGUGCAGGCUGGACGUGCACAGCCAUGCUUACACAGCACAGGAUCACAGCGCAUUGUACCGCAUACAAUAUCCUCUGCCCCAGGAACAGCCUGGGGGCGCUGGCUUUGCCCGUGUCCACACUCACACUGCAGCGCACCGGAUCGCGCCCCACAACACCACCUUCAACGCAAGGGACGGUCUGUUGCAGGAGGAGGCACCUGGUACACAGCCACGCUCACCCUGCGCUGCAUCACACAGCAUCACAUACGGUGUGGUUUCUCCCCCGCGUGGGGAAGCGGCCAAGCGCUGAUCACUCUGCACUGGACCCCUGCUGCAUUGCACGCAUCCUUUCCGCCCCCAAGGGACGAACAGCCUGGGGGCAUCCCCGGGUAUACAGACACGCUUGCACCACGCUGUGUGGGACCCCACAGCACUGCAUGCAGUGCAGCUGG